rnacentral:rRNA from 1 species
GAUGAACGCUGGCGGCGUGCUUAACACAUGCAAGUCGAACGAAGCGACUAUGAUUGAGAUUUCGGUUGAUUGAAUAGUUGACUUAGUGGCGGACGGGUGAGUAACGCGUGGGUAACCUGCCUCGUACAGGGGGAUAACAGUUAGAAAUGACUGCUAAUACCGCAUAACCCGCUAGGGUCGCAUGACCCAGACGGAAAAGAUUUAUCGGUACGAGAUGGACCCGCGUCUGAUUAGCUAGUUGGUGAGGUAACGGCCCACCAAGGCGACGAUCAGUAGCCGGCCUGAGAGGGUGAACGGCCACAUUGGGACUGAGACACGGCCCAAACUCCUACGGGAGGCAGCAGUGGGGAAUAUUGCACAAUGGGGGAAACCCUGAUGCAGCAACGCCGCGUGAGUGAAGAAGUAUUUCGGUAUGUAAAGCUCUAUCAGCAGGGAAGAAAAUGACGGUACCUGACUAAGAAGCCCCGGCUAACUACGUG